AGGGCAGAGCCCUGGAGUGCCCUCUUUCUCCCAGGAGAGCAUCUGUCUCAGGAGGCAGCAUCUCUCUCGGGAGCCUCAGCGGCAGAGGAAGUAGCCGACGUGAACGAUGUGGAAGAUGAAGAAGUUUACCAACUUGCAGCCAUGCAAGUGGCUGUCGAGCUGGCAGAGGAAGAACAAGGUGGACAACUGGCAGACGCAGGCAGCAGCGCAGGAAGAGGAGAACAGCAGCUCUUCUGCUGCCGUGGCCCAGCAGGUGAGAGCAGCAGGGGCAGAGAGCCAGGCAGCUGCCCCACACAGCCCCAGAGGCUGCGGCCGCGCUGUGCUGGACACACUGCAGCGUGUGGCACGCGCCACCCGGCGCAGGCUUGCAUCUGGGAUCCGGAGACGUGGCCAGGAGCCGGAGCCACAGAGGGAGGUAGAACCAGGUAUGGAGGUAGUGACAGCAGGAACAUCCACAGCAGCAGGGUCAGAGAGGCAGGACCCUGCCCUGCAAAGCCCCUGCUGUCCCCCCAGCCCCUUCCCAAGCCAUCUGGAAGCUCUCAAUGGGCAGUGGGCCAGGGCAGCAGCAAGGGCAGUGCUGCCAGUGGCAGAGAGCAAGGAGGGGGCCUGGUCUGAGGAGCUCUCAGACAUCUCCAGCCAAUCAGAGCAGUCCCAAGGGGAGGAAAGGACAGAGCAACCGCUGUCCCAUGGAGGAGACAACAACGGUCAAGAGCUGUUUCAGGAGAAGACAGAGAAGAAGAAGAGCAGCCAAGUCCACACCAUAUGGGUCAAGCCCUUUUACCCGGAGGUCUUGCUGGACCCCCACACUGGUUGCCAGGAGGGGCCCGGUUUCCCCAGCAGUGUGGGCAUACAGGUGGUAGAAGAGGCAGACACUGACCUGCACAGCUCUUGUCCUACCCUGGCGGGUCCCACGGACAGCCAGGCAGAAGCUGCUGCCCUCACCAGAGCUCCUGAGGAAGAGGAGCACUGCACACCUGUCACUGCCAAGGUACAAGAGGCGGCAAAGACAUCAACUUCUCCUGCCUUGGGCGAGCAGGCGACAGCAGCAGGGCCAGGGAGCCAGGCAGCUGCCCUGCACACCCCCUUCUGCUCCCCCAGCCCCUCGCCAAUCCAGCUGGAAGCCAAUGGCCUCAGCGAGCAGUGGGCAAGGGCAGCAGCAAAGACAGUGCUUCCAGUACCAGAGGCUGAGGAGGGGGCCUUUUCCAAGCUGGGGCGAGACUUAAAUGUGUACAGCCCCCAAGAGCUGCCCCCAAGAGCUGGGGAACGCAGUGGAGACCAAAGCUGGAGCAGCAGAGAAAAGGGGUUCCCUGUGGCCAUCCCACGUGAGGUAUUGGCAGAGUCCCGGGACCUUCAAGGGCCCACACCGAGAGCCCGUGCCCCAGUUCGCCGCAGCAGCAGCCCUUACAUCAGGCCACAGGCCCCGACCCCGGACCGCUGUGCCCUCAGCCCCUCGCCAUGUGAGCUGGAAACUCUCAGUGGGCAGUGCGGGGGCGUCUGGUCCUCAGAGGUCUGGGACAUCUCCAGGGAGUCCCAAGGACAAGAACACACACACCAACCGCUGUCCCAGGAGGAAGACAGCAACGACAAUGAGCUGUCACAGGACAACUGGGAAGACAUCAAGAUCUACACCAUUUGGGUCAAGCCCUCCCUCAUACCAAUCUUGCUGGAACCUCAGACUGGGGGCCAGGAGGGGCCCAAAUGCCCCUGCACCAUAUGCAGAGAGGCAGCAGAACAGACAGACAGUGACCAGCACAGCACAGCAGCAGGGGCAGAGAGCCAGGCAGCUGCCCUGCACAGUUCCCCCUGCCCUGCCAGCCCCUCACCAAGCCAGCUGGCAGCUCUCAGUGAGCAGUGGGCAGUGGCAGCGGUGGGGGCAUUCCUGCCAGUGGCCCAGACAAAGGAGACGGCCUGGUCCGAGGAUGGGAGUCUCUGGGACAUCUCCAGCCUCUUAGAGCGCUGCCAAGAGGAAGAAAACACAGCUGAAAGCUGGAAUACUGGGGGAGCAACUAGCUCUGUGUCCCUCCCCUGCGGGCCACGGGCAGAGCCCUGGGACGCUCAAGAAGGCACAUCCACGGACAAUGAUCUGGGGGCAGUCCGGGACAUGGGUCCUUCCAACCCAAACCAGCAGUUUUACAUGGGCACAGACAUGGACUUGACAGAAGAAGGCCUUUUCCAACCCAGACAAAGUGCAAAGCAGAACUCCCAGGAACAGCAGGCCGUCAGGGGGGCCACUUGCUUGGAGGACUUGCUGGUGUCGGACAGACAGUCUUUUGAGCGUUGGCAAGUCGAGCCCUCACCAACAGCUGUCUCAGCACAGCGGCCCUCUCUCUUCAGGGAGGCGCUCCGGGCUCUGCGCAGGGCAUUCUGCUGGCCCUGCCUGGCGGAUUGGGAUGGCGGCUCCCAGGGUGUGGCGGUGACUGCACCGACAUCCACCUGAUGACCGGUCACCAGUGCUGUCGCCCAGGGCUCAGUGUUGGGGCCAGUCCUGCUGCUCUGUUGGUUUGGAUUGCCCUUUGCCCGGUCAUCGAGGACUUCACCUGACUGCCACGAUUUUCCAAAACCAUGGCGAGUGGCCUAGCAACUUUGUCUGCCAGCUCCCUCAGGACCUGUGGAUGAACCUCAGCGGGUCCCUUGUGCACAUUCAGGUUCCUGACACGCUCUCGAACCUGAUCCUCUGCUGCAGGGGACUUAGGCUCUUCUGCCAGUCCCUGCCUUCGCCUUUCUCCACUUGGGCGGCGUGGCUGGAGCACUUGCUGUCGGAGACUGAAGCACAGAAGUCAUCAAGAGCCUCAGCCUUCUCUUUGUGCAUGAUAGCCACGUCUGCCAGUUCCUUCUGGAGAGGGCCCACUUUAUCCCUAGUCUGUCUUUAGCAAGACAGCUGUAGAAGCCCUUCCUGUUCUCCUUAAGAGCUCUGGCCAGACUCAAGCCGAGCUGGGCCUUGGCUUUCCCACCCUUGUCCCCAGCUUCCCUACCCUUGUCCCCAUCCUCCCACACCACCUGUCCUUCUUUCCGUUCCCUGAAAUAGGAGAAUAAGUCCCCUUAAGUUCUGUAGGAUAAAGUAGGGGUAGGGAAGAAUUAGCUGAGUUAAGUUCCAUAGGAUAAAGUAGGGGUAGGUGUUAGCAGUGCUCUCCACUUGAAUUUCAAAGAACAAGGUAAAGGCCGUCUCAUGCUUUCUCUUCCCGUUUCCUGACCAAAAUGACAAACGGUGCUUUAGCAUGGGCGGUGACCUAGGAGAGCCUAGUGUUUCAAGUAGACUUGUGAGAGUUUAAAAUAAAGAUUGGUUUUGAAAGAAAAGUGCCAGGAAGCUUGUCUUGUAAUGGUUGGGCUCGGACUUGUUCCUUAGGCAGCUGAGCUGUGUCCCUUGGCAAGUGUGUGUGCAAUAGAGCUGUCCUGGAGGCUGAAGGCAGCACAGGGACGUCUGUAAGCACAGCUGGGUAACUGCCACCGAGUGGGUCUUUCGUUCUUGGAAGUAGAAGUUUGUUUUUCAGGCUCUCCCGAUGUUCGUGUGUUGCUGCCCUCCAUUUUAUAAGGAGGAGUUCUUGGAAGACGUGUCUUCCAGGGCUGAGCCGCUGCUAAAUUACAACAGAAUAUCUAGAAGCCUUUGUUGAAAUGAAACUACUGGUUUGACCAAUAUGCAGAGCUGGUUCUUUUUGUCACGCUGUAGUCCGAUAUUUGGGAGGAAAUAAACCUCCUGAAGACCCAAGCCUUUUAGUUGCUGGGGCCAGUGAGUGUUGGGUGGGGUGAAGGAG